CCGGCUUUAGCUCAGUUGGUAGAGCGGAAGACUGUAGUGCUAUAGGAAUCUUUAGGUCGCUAGUUCGAAUCUGGCAAGCCGGA